CACCGACGCUCGUGCGGCCGACUUGCAGCUGUAGAAACAGAUACUAAAGGAACGAUGGAAUCUGUGGAAUCGUUACACGGCAUUGGUAGAAACGAUUCAAAAAGGAUGAGAUGUAGUGAAUAUAUCGCAUCAUACAUGCGUAGAAGCGAUCUCCCGUAUUCCGUCGAGGGUGAAAAAAUCCGACAUGAAAAGACUAUUUUUACUCGAACAGUGACUCCCUG